UCAUGGGUUUUAUAAAAAUUUUAGUCAUAAAACUAUUUCUUAUAUGAAAAGGGAAUGAAUAUGGCUGAAAUUGUCAAGUAUAUUUAUGUUAUCAUUAUCUUUCUUUCUCUAUUUCUUGUUGCAACUAAUAUUGAAGCGUUUUUUAGAUGCAAGAACGAUUUUGAUUGUGUACACAAAAGGUGUCGAGGUCCUAUGAGAGCAAAGUGUAUUUCCAAAGCCAUAUGUAAAUGCAGACUAGCGUUCACCCUAAAAUAGUUUAAAUUUUCAGUUUUUUUUUUUUCCUUCUAAUUUGAAGAAUUUGUAGUUAUUACUUUGUACUCUAAGAUGAUGGUAAAAAAAUAAAAUAAGUCAGAAAAAUAAUAAUAUUUGAUUGUCUUA